rnacentral:lncRNA from 1 species
AAGUGGAUUCUGUGGAAGGAGAUUAAUUUUCUUAUGCCUCUGAGUAGUUCUCAAAAAGCUCUUCAAUCAAUAUACUUUUUGAUAGCUGACCAAACAUUUUUGAAGAAAAGAAGAGAAACCUAUUAUAUUAUUAUGUAGGUCUUUUGGGAGUCCACCAUCCAAUAUUUAAACCUACAAUUACUGGUUGCUAGACAGAGAUUUACAUACGUUGCUGCCUAUUUCGGCUAAGAUCGGAAGAUGGAUGACCGAAUCUUGCAUAGUCGAAAAUUUUUGUUCCAACGAAAAUCUUCCAGCACUCAAAUCAGAAAUUAAAAAAUAAUGAAAACAGUAAUUGAUUCUCUGAGAGAGAUCACUUACCUGAAUCCUCAAAGCUUUGGUUACUUAUAGAGGAUAUGGUCCAACAACUGUAGAAAUAUGCGGUUCUGAGAUUGUCAGGUUGUUGGACGUAUUGUUAGUGAGCGAGAUAUUCUAGCCUUAUCUGCUCCCGUGAAAUAUAAAGAGUUGGUUACAUCCAAACUUAUCCACUCA